rnacentral:rRNA from 1 species
UACGAAGGGGGCUAGCGUUGCUCGGAAUCACUGGGCGUAAAGCGCACGUAGGCGGGUCGUUAAGUCGGGGGUGAAAUCCUGGAGCUCAACUCCAGAACUGCCUUCGAUACUGGCGACCUUGAGUCUGGGAGAGGUGAGUGGAACUCCGAGUGUAGAGGUGAAAUUCGUAGAUAUUCGGAAGAACACCAGUGGCGAAGGCGGCUCACUGGCCCGGUACUGACGCUGAGGUGCGAAAGCCAGGGGAGCAAACGGG